CCAUGCUGCGCCGCGAGGAGCAGGGCACGCAGCGCCCCCUAGCGGCGCUCGGGCGCCGCCGUAAGGAGAUCGCUCUCUCUCUCUUUCUGAGGAGGGCUUGGGUUUGGAGAAGGACGAGGAGGAGCGGAGAGGAUUGACACAGCGCCACCUAAUGGCCUGGCUCUGCAUUGCUCCCCGACGCUGCCCCAAAACUGAAGGAUGGAGGUUGACUGGCACAUCUUGAACUGCCAGAACAACCAAUAAUCUACAGACCCACUAAGAAAAUCCAACAAAUGCCACGUUCAGCAAAGGACAAGAGGGAUCCUCUCACCUCUGCAGGAGUCUACCCUAUACCAUGCAGCUGUGGAAAAGGCUACAUAGGUAAAGGGUCCGCUUUAUCAUCUUCUUCAGAGUUCUCAUCGUUCAGCUGCUGGCGAGCAAAAUCUUCAAACACCAGGUCACUACAAACACAUACAAAACACCUUUUAAAAUCACAUGCAUCAUGGGUCCAUGUAGAAUUAAUGCAUAAGAACUGCCAUGGCUCAAUGUUGGCACUUCACCAAACUACAAUGCCUUAAUAUCUCCAGCCCAUCCUCUGUUUGGAUAUCAGCCAGUAAGCCAAUGCUUUAAAUCAAGAAAUAGCUUCCUAAGAUCUACAGAGAUACUUGCAGGAAUACCUGAGCAAGUGAGAGUCCAAAAGUGGCAGGUUAAAACCUGGAAGUGGCUAAUACCAGAUGAGAAACUCCCCCGGGGCACACAGAAGACUGGGCAACUUGGAAAGCGCUGAACAGACUGCACUCUGGCAUCAUGAGAUGCAGAGCUAAACUUAAGAAAUGGGGCCACAAAGUGGAGUCCACGACACGGGAGUGUGGAUUAGAGGAAACCACAGACCACUUACUACAAUGCAGCAUGAGCCCUGCCACAUGCACAAUGGAGGACUUUCUUACAGUGACUUUUUUUUUCGUGUCAGGAGCAACCAGAGUUGCUUCUGGAGUGAGAGAAUUGGCCAUCUGCAAGGACGUUGCCCAGGGGACGCCCAGAUGUUUUGAUGUUUUACCAUCCUUGUGGGAGGCUUUUCUCAUGUCCCUGCAUGGAGCUGGAGCUGAUAGAGGGAGCUCAUCCGCGCUCUUCCCAGGUGGAAUUCGAACCUGGCAGCCUUCAGGUCAGCAACCCAACCUUCAAGUCACAAGGCUUUUAUCCCCUAGGCCACCGGAGGCUCCUCUUACAGUGACACCCAAGGCACUAUUCGCUUCUGACAUGAUAAAUAAAUGCCAAACUACAACUCCAUUUCAGUUAAAGUGGCGCCAAACUACAUUUAUUCCAUAAUAUUAUUGCACUCAUUGUAGUUGGGAGUUAUCUCCUCCAAAUAUAUAAUUUCACACAUCGCUAAAACUUGCAUUAUAGUAGCUGAUGUACUGUUUUUUGCAACCAAUGUAUGUGAUAUAGAAAAGAACAUAAAAGUCAAAUAUCAAGGAAAAUAACUCUUCUAUAACAUCCCUAACCAUAAGAGCUCCUACACAGUUAAAGGCUUUGUUAUCAUUUGUAAAGCAUAGUCUGGUUUCCUUCUGAAAUUGAAUGCCCUCAAUUAUCCACCAUUAUCCAACAUAUGUUUGCAAUAUGAUCCCUACUGCCUUUUCUUUUCCUGAACCCAGCCUGGGCAUCUGGCAGUUCUCACUUCAUAUAUGGGAAAGGUCUUUGUUGUGGAACGUUGAGCAUCACUUUGCUUGCAUGAGACACUAACUCAAUGGGAGUUUGCUGUGCCUCUUAUUAGUAUUGUGCAGAAAUGAGAACUGUCACGUGUCCAGGCUUAAGUAUGUAUGCAAGUGUGACCAUAGGAAGCAUGGCUUUUGGAAUGCCUGGGCUGUGGCGUAGGCUGGUGAGCAGCCAGCUGCAGCCAGCUGCAACAAAUCACUCUGACCAAGAGGUCAUGAGUUCGAGGCCAGCUCGGAGCCUGCAUUGUCUCUGUCUUUGGUCUAUGUUAAGGCAUUGAAUGUUUGCCUUAUAUGUGCAAUGUGAUCCGCCCUGAGUCCCCUUCGGGGUGAGAAGGGCGGAAUAUAAAUACUGUAAAUAAAUAAAUAAAUGCUAAUUCUAGUAGUUUUAAUUCAGUUAAAUGACGGGAACUUUAUGGAGGAUCUACUCUGCAUAAUCAAAGAAUAUUCAAAUACAUUAUUCCUACCUCUAAACCAGUCCCAGGUCAGUGGCUGAAUUUAAAUUAAAAACUGUUGUGGGAGAAGUUAUAUCCCACCCGCCCUUUGUAUACUUAUGAAACUAAAUAAACUCAAUGUUUGACCUUAUGUAUUUAAUGUA